rnacentral:misc_RNA from 1 species
CACAAAUACUCAAACACAGAGAAAAUCACUUGGAUCGCCCUCAUUAUCUUAUGGCAAUCUUUUCCAAGUCACUAACCAAGACUGACAUUACGAAAAAAUUAUCAUUUCCAACCAAGUCUCUCAAGUACUUGCCCGGUUUUGGGAUAGGCCAUGCAUUAGAUUUGCACGUAAGAGAUGAGAGUGGGCAUGUCUGGACCUUUCGCUGCAUCAUUCGCAAGAAAAACCACCCCAAACCUGUUCUUACCAAGGGUUGGCGCAAAUUUGCUUCCAGCAAACAUCUUGAUGCGGGUGAUAAAAUCAUCUUUUAUGAACAAGAAG